AUAGGUAUUUGAGUAAAGAACUCAGUUAAAAAGUUUCAUCAAGCAAUACUACAACAAAAACACAUCAAGUCCGCAUACACGUUCCACAAUUCACGCCAUCUUUGACCUAUCAUUUAGGUCAUUGUGUUAAUUACAUCAUUAUCCAUGGCCAACAAUUCAUAACACCAAAACCAUCACAAACUUAUUUCAAAUCUAUCAUGCAACUAGGGUUUCAAAAUUGUAAAAUUUCGCAGGUGACCUUACUAGUAAUAGGUCCGGCUGACAUAUAUAUAUAUAUAU
rnacentral:sRNA from 1 species